UACGGAGGGUGCGAGCGUUGUCCGGAAUCACUGGGCGUAAAGCGCGCGUAGGCGGCUUUGCAAGUCGGGUGUGAAAUCCCCAGGCUUAACCUGGGAACUGCAUUCGAGACUGCAUUGCUAGAGUAUGGGAGAGGGAAGUGGAAUUUCCGGUGUAGCGGUGAAAUGCGUAGAUAUCGGGAGGAACAUCAGUGGCGAGAGCGACUUCCUGGACCAAUACUGACGCUCAUGAGCGAAAGCGUGGGGAGCAAACAGG
rnacentral:rRNA from 1 species